rnacentral:rRNA from 1 species
GCUUAGCCCUAAACCCAAAUAAUUGCACAACAAUAUUAUUCGCCAGAGUACUACUAGCAAUAGCUUAAAACUCAAAGGACUUGGCGGUGCUUUAUAUCCCUCUAGAGGAGCCUGUUCUGUAAUCGAUAAACCCCGUUAAACCUCACCGAUCCUUGCUAAUACAGCCUAUAUACCGCCAUCUUCAGCAAACCCUAAAAAGGAGCCACAGUAAGCAAAAACAUAGAAGCAUAAAAACGUUAGGUCAAGGUGUAGCCAAUGGACCGGGAAGAAAUGGGCUACAUUUUCUAAAAUAGAACAUAUACGAAAAUUUUCGUGAAACCGAAAAUGGAAGGAGGAUUUAGUAGUAAAUUAAGAACAGAGAG